rnacentral:siRNA from 1 species
UCUGUUCAGGCAAUGUAAGGA